UACAGAGGGGGCAAGCAUUAUUCGGAAUUAUUGGGCGUAAAGGGCGCGUAGGCGGCUUUGCAAGUGACGGGUGAAAUCCCUCGGCUUAACCGAGAAACUGCCUGUCAGACUGCAUGGCUUGAGACCGGGAGAGGUGAGUGGAAUUCCCAGUGUAGCGGUGAAAUGCGUAGAUAUUGAGAGGAACACCAGUGGCGAAGGCGGCUCACUGGACCGGUACUGACGCUGGAGGCGACGAAAGCGUGGGGAGCAAACAGG
rnacentral:rRNA from 1 species